rnacentral:rRNA from 1 species
AUUGAACGCUGGCGGCAGGCCUAACACAUGCAAGUCGAGCGGAGCGGCGGACGGGGGCGUAAUGCCUAGGUAUAUGACUGGUAGUGGGGGAUAACGACAGGAAACGGGCGCUAAUACCGCAUACUCUCAGAUGAGCAUAGGUCGGAUUAGCUAGUGGGUGGGGUAAAGGCAUACCAAGGCGACGAUCCCGAGCUGGUCUGAGAGGAUGACCAGUCACACUGGAACUGAGACACGGUCCAGACUCCUACGGGAGGCAGCAGUGGGGAAUAUUGCACAAUGGGCGAAAGCCUGAUGCAGCCAUGCCGCGUGUGUGAAGAAGGUCUUCGGAUUGUAAAGCACUUUAAGUUGGGAGGCGUUACCCGCAGAAGAAGCACCGGCUAACGUCGUGCCAGCAGCCGCGGUAAUAC